GACGAACCGUGCGAACGUUGUUCGGAUUCACUGGGCAUAAAGGGCGCGUAGGCGGCUUUUCAAGUCAGGGGUGAAAUCCGGCAGCUCAACUGUCGAAGUGCCCUUGAUACUGAUGAGCUCGAGGGAGGUAGGGGUAUGUGGAACUUCCGGUGGAGCGGUGAAAUGCGUUGAUAUCGGAAGGAACGCCGGUGGCGAAAGCGACGUACUGGACCUCUUCUGACGCUGAGGCGCGAAAGCUAGGGGAGCAAACGGG
rnacentral:rRNA from 1 species